UGACCUACGGGGCGCAGCAGUGGGGGAUAUUGCACAAUGGGGGGAACCCUGAUGCAGCGACGCCGCGUGGGUGAAGGAGCGUUUCGGCGCGUAAAGCCCUAUCGGCAGGGAAGAAGAUGACGGUACCUGACCAAGAAGCCCCGGCUAACUACGUGCCAGCAGCCGCGGUAAUACGUAGGGGGCAAGCGUUAUCCGGAUUCACUGGGUGUAAAGGGAGCGUAGACGGCGACGCAAGUCUGGAGUGAAAGCCCGGGGCCCAACCCCGGGACUGCUCUGGAAACUGCGUAGCUGGGGUACGGGGGGGG
rnacentral:rRNA from 1 species